rnacentral:rRNA from 1 species
AGUGAACGCUGGCGGCGUGCCUAAUACAUGCAAGUCGAACGGAGUGGCGCACGGGUGAGUAAUGUAUAGCUAAUCUGCCCUACACUAGAGGACAACAAUUGGAAGAGGCUGCUAAUACUCUAUAGUGUAGGAUGUGGCUAUAAUGUAUCAGCUAGUUGGUGAGGUAAAGGCGCACCAAGGCGAUGACGCAUAACUGGUCUGAGAGGAUGAGCAGUCACACUUGAACUGAGACACGGUCCGGACUCCUACGGGAGGGAGCAGUAGGGUAUAUUGCUCAAUGGGGGAAACCCUGAAGGAUCAACGGCGCGUGGAGGAUGACACUUUUCGGAGCGUAAACGCCUUUUGUUAGGGAAGCGGUACCUAACGAAUAAGCACCGGCUAACUCCGUGCCAGCAGCCGCGGUAAUUC